rnacentral:lncRNA from 1 species
GUUAUAUGAAUUAACACCCGUGUACAGCCCGUCAUCUUUCUUAUAAACAAUGAUUUUACCGUUAUAAAGGACGUCCCGCUGAUAAUAAGAGUAAGGCACGUCGCAAGUUCCCUUAGUCGCCAUCAGGCUCACAGAUAUUGAAGUUUUUGCCGGCAUUGUAACCGUGUAGGUGGUCUCCAACGUGUUUUCGGAUGUAAUUGUCUCUCCCUACUCGUAUGAUCAGGAAUAUUCUGCGGAAGCAGUGACCUCAGUACCGCCGAUGAAUGGAACUUUGAAGCUGGCGAUGGUACUCACGCCAACCAUCCACGAGUGCGUGGCGCUCCACGUGCUGCUCUUACUCUCCGUGUCUGCAAACUUGAAUUCCACAGUGUUGUCUGCUGAGGUGUUGUUGCUGGCAUUUGCGAUGGCCAUGGUGACCGGGGUCUCGCCGUAGAUUAUGGCAUUCUUAAUGUCGAUGUCAGUGUUGUAGAUUCUCCUAGAGAGAACAAGCUCUUCCAGCGUGAAAACGACAACCUACAAUUUGAAACAUGCUUUGAUGUUGUAGAUACCUCUAGUAGCAAAGCUAGUUUGCUAUCUCACCAAGCAUAAUUAACACCCUCUUUGGGACACCCACAAGCCAUGGGGAGGCCCAACCGCUACUUGCAUCUUGUAGCCCUAUGUUCAAGCUACGCUACGGUAUCCGGAAGUCGCAAAUCCGUCACCGGGAAGCCACCUUUCUGGCCUUGCCAAGUUGCCUCCAUAAUAUGCAUUUCUAUACUAGAAUAGUUGUUUGCUUGUCCCACAUCUAAGAAAAUGUAAAGGAGAUGGCUUCCUUCACCUAUAAAAGGAAUGCCUCCUCCCACUUAAACACCAUUCAUUCAAUCCAAUCCCAUUACACACUUUGUAAUGCACUUGGGCCGCAAGGCUCAACACACUAGUACAACAUUCAAGUGGACGUAGUUUCCCGCUAAGGCGGGGAACGAACCACUAUACAUCUUGUGUCGUUCUCUCUCUCUCUCUCUCUCUUUACUUAUCGUUAAUUAGAUCCCCAACGGAUCCAAGCAUUAACAUUGGCGCCGUCUGUGGGAAGCCAACACAAUGGCUUCGUCACGUACCAUGAACUUCGGUAAACAUCAAAUUAGGGCUCGAUCAACGCCCGGCGGGGUCGGUCAACGCCCAUCAGGGGCCGGUCAACGUCUGGUCAACGCUGACCAAGGUUAGUCAACGCUGAACCUUAAAAAAAAAAAAAAAAAUCUGGGCGGCAAAAAUUUCUCUGGGCACCCAGACAUUUUUUCUGGACACCCAUCUUCUUCUUCUUCGCUGCGUUGUCUCCUUCCUCCGCUGCAGCUCCCUCCUCCAGCCACAUCCUCCGCUGGCUCAGGCAGACCUCCGCUCCGCCACACUCAAAGCUCCGCUCCGCCCAACUCGUAGCUCCGCCAGCCGCAACUCCGAGGCUCUGCCCAACCUGCAGCUCCAGGGCUCCGCCUAGCUUCGCCGCUGGGAUUUCCUCCGCCCAACUUGCAUCCCCGCCGAACCGGUGAUCCGCCGAACUGUAGCCCUCCUCCAAGCAAAAUACCGCCAUAACCCAGGCCUCCGCUAAACAAGACUGUCUUCGCUAGCUUGCCUCUGCUGGCCACGGACAGAUCACCGCUAACCAAAGCUUAGAGGACAGGCUCCAUCAAUGAGCCCCGCUCCGCCGAGCUGCUCCACCGCUGAACUCUCCUCCGCUGACCAUCUUGACCCACCGUGCAUAGCCUCCUCCGCUAAGCUUCAUCAGCGGGAAACUUCUCCGCUAGGCUUCGUCAGCAGGAAACAAAGCUCCGGUAGAUAUCCAUCAGCGGCACCGCUGACCUUCACCGCUGGGCAACCCCCGCUGACAUCCUCCUCCACUGGGCUUCACACCUGGGUGGUCUCCGCCGAGCAAUGAGCUCCGCUCCGCUAGACUAUCUCCGCUAGCCUGCCUCCGCCGGCCAUGGACAAGCUCCGCUGACCAAAGCUUAGCGGACAAGCUCCGCUGACCAAAUCGAGCUCCGCUCCGCCGGGAUCCAUCACUGAGAUCCUCCGCUAAACUUCAACACUGGGUUUCACCCUUCAUCGCUGACCGAGGUUCACUACUGCGCUCCGCCGAGCAGCACCACUGGUCAAACUCCAUCACCACCGCCCAACUUCCUCUGCUGGCACCAUCUCGGCUCGAUCCCCGACAACCCAGUCUGCCAGGAGCCACCGCUCAGCUCUCCUCCAGUAUCUGAGCUCCGCUCAGCCUAACCUCUCCUCCGCUGAGCUGCUCCACCGCCGAGUUUUCUCCUCCGAUCAGAUUUCUCCUCCGAUGGGCAUCAGCGCCAAGCUUCACUACCGCUGGACACUUAUUGCCUUGCAAAAACAGAAACGGGGGAUCUGCUACCUCAAAUCUGGUUUGCUGCUGCAAUUUGGAACAGCCGCCAAUUCGAUCCAUCUCAGAGCCCGCCCCGCGUGUCCGCUCAAUGGAGCUAAUUCGAACAUAUUGAUUUAAGCACCUGAUCUCAUCGGACUUCGUUCAUAGCCAAACUGAAAAAUAGCGAGAUAAGUCUUAAUCUCUCCUUAUCUGAUGCGAAUACCAUGUGCCUAGCAGAGCCG